GCCAGCAGCCGCGGUAAUACGGAGGGUGCGAGCGUUAAUCGGAAUUACUGGGCGUAAAGCGCAUGCAGGUGGUUUGUUAAGUCAGAUGUGAAAGCCCGGGGCUCAACCUCGGAAUUGCAUUUGAAACUGGCAAACUAGAGUACUGUAGAGGGGGUAGAAUUUCAGGUGUAGCGGUGAAAUGCGUAGAGAUCUGAAGGAAUACCGGUGGCGAAGGCGGCCCCCUGGACAGAUACUGACACUCAGAUGCGAAAGCGUGGGGAGCAAACAGGAUUAGAUACCCUGGUAG
rnacentral:rRNA from 1 species